AGCUUUGCGCAGUGGCAGUAUCGUAGCCAAUGAGGUUUAUCCGAGGCGUGAUUAUUGCUAAUUGAAAAAAUGCUACUGAUGAUUUUAAAGCACAGGUAAAAAAUGUUCAUUAAUCAAGCCAUUUUG
rnacentral:snRNA from 1 species